rnacentral:rRNA from 1 species
CGGCCCUUAGAGUUUGAUGGUGGCUCAGAACGAACGCUGGCGGCGUGGNAUCUAGGCAUGCAAGUCGUACGGGGUAUUCAGUUUUAUCGAAUACCUAGUGGCGAAAGGGUGAUUAACACGUGGGUAACCUACCCUAGGGAUCGGGAUAACCCCGCGAAAGCGGAGCUAAUACCGGAUACGAUCCAGGAGUUUUCGGACUUUUGGAUGAAAGAUGGGGAUCUCUUCGGAGACCUAUCACCUUUGGAGGGGCCCGCGGCCUAUUAGCUUGUUGGUAGGGUAACGGCCUACCAAGGCAAUGAUGGGUAGCUGGUCUGAGAGGAUGGUCAGCCACACUGGGACUGAGACACUGCCCAGACUCCUACGGGAGGCUGCAGUCGAGAAUCUUUCGCAAUGGGGGAAACCCUGACGAAGCGACGCCGCGUGUAGGAUGAAGGCCCUCGGGUUGUAAACUACUGUCACAAGGGACGAAAAGUGAUCCUGAAAAUAUUGGGAACACCUGACGGUACCUUGAGAGGAAGCCACGGCUAACUCCGUGCCAGCAGCCGCGGUAAUACGGAGGUGGCGAGCGUUGUUCGGAUUUAUUGGGUGUAAAGGGUCCGUAGGCGGCUUGGUAAGUCAGACGUGAAAUCUUGCGGCUCAACCGCAAAACUGCAUUUGAAACUACCAAGCUAGAGAGUGCUAGAGGAAGAUGGAAUUCCCGGUGUAAGAGUGAUAUCUUCAGAUAUCGGGAGGAACACCAGUAGCGAAGGCGAUCUUCUGGGGCAUUUCUGACGCUGAAGGACGAAAGCUGGGGGAGCGAACAGGAUUAGAUACCCUGGUAGUCCCAGCCGUAAACGAUGAGGACUA